CUUAGUUGUGUUUAACUAAUUGUUUGUGUCUGUGCUGAGAAAUUAUUAUUAUUAUUAUUAAAUUAUAUAAUGAAUAUAUAUAUAUAUAUCACAUCGCAGAAUUAACAAUCGAGAACAUGGAUAAUAAAUUUUAGUAGAUUUUGAUGAGAACAAUACGAUUUGGCAUGAGUGGCUUUAUACGAUGCUGAUAACCUUCGUUAUAUUAUAAAGUUGAUGUUCUAAUUUGUCGACUUUAUUAAUUAUUUAUUUACGAUUACUGCACGCAGAAUUACAUUUCUUAUCGAUUUACUAACGGAAAGUUCUCAGCGAAUCGCUAACUGAAUUUUUUUUGUCUGGCCUAUGCGAUUUUUUUAAUAAAGAAAAUGGCGAAUUUUUAAGAAAAGUUGUUGUGCCUCAGUUAUAUUUUUGAAUCGGCGCAUAUAACUAACCGAAUAAUUGGGCAAUGGUGCAAUAUUUUACUAUUUUGUCGCAUAAUUUCGCUUGUUAAUAAUGAAGUUUUUCCGAUAGGUGAAGUGUUUAAUAAGCUCAAUUGUUUUACAAGAUAUAUAACUCGAAGAAGUAAUGAAAUAGCGUAAUUUGGCGUGGCUGUCCGGAAACAAGAAAGUAGAUUGGUUUCAUAUCGGAAGUAAAACGGAAAAGGAAGGAAACGGAAAGCCAACGUCCAACCCUUAAAACUAAUCGCGUGUUCCGGGUCAUCCUUUUUUUUAUAUUCUCUUCCUCUUUUCAUUCAAAUCCGAAUUGAAACGAAGCGGAAACAAUCGACUUUACUCCCGGAAAUGUUCAUUUCCGUUCCGAGCACGGAAAUCAUCCCGUUUCCGGAAGUGUGCUGACCGGAAUUGCAAAAGGGGUUUUAUGGGCGGAGUUUGAAGUUUUAAUGAGUUGCCUAGUUGGAUGUUAAUGGAGACUACCAAUCAAAGUCGCGGCUGCAUCACUUAUUCGUUGUCGUAGCGUCGGCAAAAGUCGUCGUUUAAUUUAUGGAGUAUAAUUUGCUCCUGCCACAAUGCCAUUCAAAUUUUUAUAACAUAUUUAUAAAGGAAGUUUUGAAUGGGAAUAUGUGGUAGAAAACGGCAGUUUUUAUUUUCCCUGCAGAGGAAGAAGGGAGGAAAAAAAAAUCUUAACGAGUAUGAAGCUCGAUUUUUUUGUUUUGUGUACAUCAUUGUCAUGCAGGAAAGCCGACUUGAGUUGGAGCAGAGUGGAGUUGAUCGGCAUUAUGAAACUGUUGCUUGGCUUAUAGAACUAAACUAUUAGCAGCUUUCUUGUAGCACUAUAUCUGUAACCAGAACAACAAGAGACCAACCAUUAAUGUCUCCGGCCUAGACAUAAAGUGAAUCAAAUUAUACGCUCCCUUUCGACGUUAAUCUUGUCUAGCGACAAAAGCGCCCAGUUAACUCUCACUAUAGAGAAAACAUGGUGCAGUCUUUAAAUGCCAAAGGUCGAAAUGGUGCUAAAAGACAACUAGGCAACUGCAGAAAAUUAAAAAAAGAGUAAAACGUUUGAUAAGAAAGAGAGAUAUUUAACUGACUUAUAUCACCGGGAAGUAAAGUGCAUCUUUGUAGAUAGACUAACUGAAGGUAACAGUCGAAAGUUUGUAAACGUUCAAAGCAAUUUAAGGCGUACGGAUAAAUUUCUCGAAAUUAAAUUAUCUACUGAAAGGACAAAGUGAUCCUGUCACUUCAUGUGACGAAUUAGUUCAAACGCCUUCCUUUCAAAUGGCUUUUUGUUCCAAAGUGAUUUAGUUUCAGGUUUUUCCUUAUUCGGUAACGACUUUGCACUUUUUUACAUGUAUAUGCUAGAAAUAUUCUGAAAAUAAGAAGGAAUAGGAGUAUUUUAUCGUUCUUAGCACAUAAUUAUUGCCUUUUCUCUUAAGAGAUGAAUAAAAAAAAUCGGCAUAGAAUCGACAUUAAAGCAGCUUAGGUGCUUAAACCGCGCAUCAUUCACUGCAUUCCGAAGCAAUUACAACUAUAUAUUCUUCAAAAACUACAACAAAAACUAUAUUUUAAUCAAUAUAAAAGCAAAAUUGCGACAAGAUACAAUCUGUUUUCACAAUUUGGAGUCGAUCGAAAUGAUUGUCGAAAAAGUUUUCAGUCGAACUCCUCCCAUGUUCUUCGAAAGAAAAAAAGAUCUUUUUUAGAGGAAAAGAAGAAGUGAUGUUUUGCGGACGACACACGUCACACUUCAUUCAGUAGAAAAGUGUUCCUUUUUUUCGACAGAACUAGAUGCAAUCAAAGUUGUGUCUUUCCGAGAUCAUACAAGAAACAAAUCGAAGAAUUUUCUUCUGUGGAAAAAAAAAAACGCAUUUAAACGAUUAAAAAAAAUUAAUGAAAUUGGAAAUAAUUAACGGACAAAAAUUUCGCUUUCUAUUGUAAUACAAAAUUUAGAAACAAAUGAUUUAAUUGGAUGAAGAGCCGAGUUCAUCUACUUCAAAAUAAUUAGAUAUGAUCGUGGCAAAAGAAGUCAUUUCUUUAGACUGCUUCUGAUGUAAAUUAUUUGUUGAAACAACUUCCACAAAAUUUACAUUCUUUCAAAUUAUGUUUAUUCUUCACCACCGUAAAAAAAAAAAAAAAAAAGAUUUUUUCGCCAAGCG
rnacentral:lncRNA from 1 species